rnacentral:sRNA from 1 species
GCUGGGUGUGGUGGUGCAUGCCUGUAAUCCCAAAGGCUCAGGAGGCUGAGGCUGGAGGAUUGCAAGUUCAAAGCCAGUCUUAGCAAUUUAGCAAGGCCCUGAGCAACUCAUUGAGACCCUGUCUCUA